AUUGCAGAAUUCAGUGAAUCAUUGAAUCUUUGAACGCACCUUGCACCUUUUGGUAUUCCAAAAGGUACACCUGUUUGAGUGUCAU
rnacentral:rRNA from 1 species